GACGGGGGGGGCAAGUGUUCUUCGGAAUGACUGGGCGUAAAGGGCACGUAGGCGGUGAAUCGGGUUGAAAGUGAAAGUCGCCAAAAGUGGCGGAAUGCUCUCGAAACCAAUUCACUUGAGUGAGACAGAGGAGAGUGGAAUUUCGUGUGUAGGGGUGAAAUUCGUAGAUAUUCGGAAGAACACCAGUGGCGAAGGCGACUCGCUGGACAAGUAUUGACGCUGAGGUGCGAAAGCGUGGGGAGCAAACAGG
rnacentral:rRNA from 1 species